UACAGAGGUGGCAAGCGUUGUUCGGAAUCACUGGGCUUAAAGGGCGCGUAGGCGGGCUGACAAGUCUGGGGUGAAAUGCCGCGGCUCAACCGUGGAACUGCCUUAGAUACUGUCGGCCUCGAGGGAGGUAGGGGCGUGCGGAACUGUAGGUGGAGCGGUGAAAUGCGUUGAUAUCUACAGGAACUCCGGUGGCGAAAGCGGCGCGCUGGACCUCUUCUGACGCUGAGGCGCGAAAGCUAGGGGAGCAAACGGG
rnacentral:rRNA from 1 species